rnacentral:rRNA from 1 species
UGGGGAAUAUUGGACAAUGGGCGAAAGCCUGAUCCAGCCAUGCCGCGUGAGUGAUGAAGGCCUUAGGGUUGUAAAGCUCUUUUAGCAGGGAAGAUAAUGACGGUACCUGCAGAAAAAGCCCCGGCUAACUUCGUGCCAGCAGCCGCGGUAAUACGAAGGGGGCUAGCGUUGCUCGGAAUUACUGGGCGUAAAGCGCACGUAGGCGGACUCUUAAGUCGGUGGUGAAAUCCUGGAGCUCAACUCCAGAACUGCCUUCGAUACUGGGAGUCUUGAGUUCGGGAGAGGUGAGUGGAACUGCGCGUGUAGAGGUGAAAUUCGUAGAUAUUCGCAAGAACACCAGUGGCGAAGGCGGCUCACUGGCCCGAUACUGACACUGGGGUGCGAAAGCGUGGGGAGCAAAC